AGUGAACGCUGGCGGUAGGCCUAACACAUGCAAGUCGAACGGCAGCACAGUAAGAGCUUGCUCUUACGGGUGGCGAGUGGCGGACGGGUGAGGAAUACAUCGGAAUCUACUUUUUCGUGGGGGAUAACGUAGGGAAACUUACGCUAAUACCGCAUACGACCUACGGGUGAAAGCAGGGGAUCUUCGGACCUUGCGCGAUUGAAUGAGCCGAUGUCGGAUUAGCUAGUUGGCGGGGUAAAGGCCCACCAAGGCGACGAUCCGUAGCUGGUCUGAGAGGAUGAUCAGCCACACUGGAACUGAGACACGGUCCAGACUCCUACGGGAGGCAGCAGUGGGGAAUAUUGGACAAUGGGCGCAAGCCUGAUCCAGCCAUACCGCGUGGGUGAAGAAGGCCUUCGGGUUGUAAAGCCCUUUUGUUGGGAAAGAAAAGCAGCAGGUUAAUACCCCGCUGUUCUGACGGUACCCAAAAAUAAGCAACCGCUAAAUUUGUG
rnacentral:rRNA from 1 species